CCUACGGGAGGCAGCAGUGAGGAAUCUUGGUCAAUGGGCGUAAGCCUGAACCAGCCAAGUCGCGUGAGGGAUGAAGGUUCUAUGGAUCGUAAACCUCUUUUAUAAGGGAAUAAAGUGCGGGACGUGUCCCGUUUUGUAUGUACCUUAUGAAUAAGGCUCGGCUAACUCCGUGCCAGCAGCCGCGGUAAUACGGAGGAUCCGAGUGUUAUCCGGAUUUAUUGGGUUUAAAGGGUGCGUAGGCGGCCUUUUAAGUCAGCGGUGAAAGUCUGUGGCUCAACCAUAGAAUUGCCGUUGAAACUGGGAGGCUUGAGUAUGUUUGAGGCAGGCGGAAUGCGUGGUGUAGCGGUGAAAUGCUUAGAUAUCACGCAGAACCCCGAUUGCGAAGGCAGCCUGCCAAGCCACGACUGACGCUGAUGCACGAAAGCGUGGGGAGCAAACAGGAUUAGAUACCCCAGUAGUC
rnacentral:rRNA from 1 species